rnacentral:rRNA from 1 species
UUUAUAUCAAUUAAGCGGAGGAAAAGAAACCAACAGGGAUUGCCCUAGUAACGGCGAGUGAAGCGGCAACAGCUCAAAUUUGAAAUCUGGCUCUUUCAGAGUCCGAGUUGUAAUUUGCAGAGGGCGCUUUGGCUUUGGCAGCGGUCCAAGUUCCUUGGAACAGGACGUCACAGAGGGUGAGAAUCCCGUACGUGGUCGCUAGCUAUUGCCGUGUAAAGCCCCUUCGACGAGUCGAGUUGUUUGGGAAUGCAGCUCUAAAUGGGAGGUAAAUUUCUUCUAAAGCUAAAUAUUGGCCAGAGACCGAUAGCGCACAAGUAGAGUGAUCGAAAGAUGAAAAGCACUUUGGAAAGAGAGUCAAACAGCACGUGAAAUUGUUGAAAGGGAAGCGCUUGCAGCCAGACUUGCUUGCAGUUGCUCAUCCGGGCUUUUGCCCGGUGCACUCUUCUGUAGGCAGGCCAGCAUCAGUUUGGGCGGUGGGAUAAAGGUCUCUGACACGUUCCUUCCUUCGGGUUGGCCAUAUAGGGGAGACGACAUACCACCAGCCUGGACUGAGGUCCGCGCAUCUGCUAGGAUGCUGGCGUAAUGGCUGUAAGCGGCCCGUCUUGAACCAACGGA